CACUGGAGUCUGGCAGGCAGGAUCUGGACAGAGUUUGAACUUUUCUAACUUUAGAUCCUGGAACAGAGGACAGUACUACUGUGAGGCACAGAACAGACUUGGAGCUCAGAAUUCUACUGCUGUGUCAAUCAACACAGAAGUAGGGGAUAGGACAGCGCUUGUGUGGACGGUUGUUGGAAUCACAGUGGCUGUUGCACUCGUUGCUGCUAUUGCGUGUAUGAGAUGGAAGAAGAAAAGUGCACGGAGAGAGAGAGUAGCAGACACACUGGCACUGUAAAAAACGAUUUCCCACCUGGGUAUUCCUGGACCUGGACACCUGGAUCAUGACAACCAUAUCAGCCUUACGGGAUAAGCAAAGGACAGUUUUCUGUACAUGCUGUAUUUUUUAUGAAACUACAAAGUCAGUAGAUCUGUGCUGAACAGAAGACACAAAGCACAGAUACACACAAUGCAAGUUACAGUCAAUUAGUGUGGGCUUCCUGCUAAGUUUAACUCAAUUUCAGUCUUGCUCCAUAUUUUAAUUGGUUAAAAAUAUUGCAGAACAUUCCCCAAUUAACUGCCAUUAGAUUGUACUUGUGUCUGUUGAAAUUUUUUCAUUUCAUUUUGCAAUCCACAAUAUGUUAAAAUAUAAUUCUGUAAUGUAAAUUCUUCAAGUGAUUCUG